rnacentral:lncRNA from 1 species
UAUCCGCAGGGCGGAGCGAGCACUCAGUAAGAAAGGAUAGCUUUUCUCCCUUUUCUGCUUCGCUCCCAACUAAGAAUGCAGAGUCAGGGAGAUGGCGCAGAGACAAUGCUGCUGUCCAUUGAAGCCCUCCAAAGGUCGGAGAUUCGAUCACAGGACAGCCUGGCCUGGACCAAGGUCAGGUUGAUAUGGCUAGGCGGCCUGCUGGCGAGAUAGUGGGAGUGGGCGGUCCGCCCCUCAGGACCUCUGACUUGGACAGAUGACUGGAUGACUCUCUGGGGCAGCAUUCACCGGAACUCAUAUGGAGGGGACUGCCUGAGAAACCAACCUGUGUGCCUGGUCAGGUUGAUAUGGCUAGGCGGCCUGCUGGCGAGAUAGUGGGAGUGGGCGGCCCGCCCCUCAGGACCUCUGACCUGGACAGAUGACUGGAUGACUCUCUGGGGCAGCAUUCACCGGAACUCAUAUGGAGAGGACUGCCUGAGAAACCAACCUGUGUGCCUGGGUCAGGUUGAUAUGGCUAGGCGGCCUGCUGGCGAGAUAGUGGGAGUGGGCGGUCCGCCCCUCAGGACCUCUGAUUUGGACAGAUGACUGGAUGACUCUCUGGGGCAGCAUUCACCGGAACUCAUAUGGAGGGGACUGCCUGAGAAACCAACCUGUGUGCCUGGGUCAGGUUGAUAUGGCUAGGCGGCCUGCUGGCGAGAUAGUGGGAGUGGGCGGUCCGCCCCUCAGGACCUCUGACUUGGACAGAUGACUGGAUGACUCUCUGGGGCAGCAUUCACCGGAACUCAUAUGGAGGGGGCUGCCUGAGAAACCAACCUGUGUGCCUGGGUCAGGUUGAUAUGGCUAGGCGGCCUGCUGGCGAGAUAGUGGGAGUGGGCGGUCCGCCCCUCAGGACCUCUGACUUGGACAGAUGACUGGAUGACUCUCUGGGGCAGCAUUCACCGGAACUCAUAUGGAGGGGGCUGCCUGAGAAACCAACCUGUGUGCCUGGGUCAGGUUGAUAUGGCUAGGCGGCCUGCUGGCGAGAUAGUGGGAGUGGGCGGUCCGCCCCUCAGGACCUCUGACUUGGACAGAUGACUGGAUGACUCUCUGGGGCAGCAUUCACCGGAACUCAUAUGGAGGGGGCUGCCUGAGAAACCAACCUGUGUGCCUGGGGUCAGGUUGAUAUGGCUAGGCGGCCUGCUGGCGAGAUAGUGGGAGUGGGCGGUCCGCCCCUCAGGACCUCUGACUUGGACAGAUGACUGGAUGACUCUCUGGGGCAGCAUUCACCGGAACUCAUAUGGAGGGGGCUGCCUGAGAAACCAACCUGUGUGCCUGGCCCACCACCUACCAGAGGUAUUGGAAAAGAACGGAUACGGAGGAAGUGGACCCAUUUAGAGGUGAUUAUUUGGAGCAAAUCCCAUCUGCUUUGUCAGUUAUUGAGCAGUUCCGUUCAUAGGCUGGCAAUGGCAGCUUGAUCCACUCUCAAAGUCUUCAUGGAUACACCAGCAGUCCGUUCAGUAAAGUCCAGAUAGCAGCAGUUGCACGACCUAGCAGGAACAACCAGGCCUCAGCUGAAGACAGUAGUCUACAGGAGGCAUUGGACUAGCAUGAAUGUCAGGAGAAACUUACAGCUGUGCCUCUCUUAAGGAAGUGAAGAUCAGUGAAGACAGGAGACCAAAAGGCGUUUAGCUGUGCAAGCAAGCCAAGCCCUUCUCCCAGUCCCUCCAAACAUCACUAGUCCUCCACAGGACUUGUCUCACCAUGUGUUGCCUCAGCAAAACUCACCUUUACAAACACAGCUUUGAAGGCCAGUUUUUUGAGUUAAUAAUGUAAACAAAUGUUAUUCUACGACAAACGUAGAAUUCAAGAGAAAAAUGGAGUAAUGAGUAAACCAGACAUUAAAAAAGAUUCUAUAAAUGAUCGAAUUACCUUUAGGCUACUGCAGCUUAGGUAUAAUGUAAGGGGAGUAAUAAUCUACAAAUAAGCAAAUGAGCCAAGAUGACCAAGAUGGAAAUGGUUUGAUUAGGAAUUUGAUUAGGGAAGUUCUGCCAAGGCAGGGAUAGUUGGGGUGGACACCUUUAGUCCCAGCACUGGGGCUUUAUGCAUGCUAAGGACGAGCUCUAUUGCUGGGCCCCACGCUCUAGAGUCAAUGCUCUAAAAUACUGCACAAACUAAUUCUCAGACAUUAACUGCAGGAAGAAUGCUCUAAUCCUAGAUGAGUGUUUUCAAAACAAAACUUAGCAGCGAAGACCAAAAAAUACAGAAAAAGCACCCAAAACAGACGAAAUGCCAGUUCAUCAGGAAGCCAAAACUUGACAGAAAUAUCUCUCAAAUAACAUUUAAUCUCUCUCCCUUUGUUCUAAUCCUGUCCCCACCCAGCAACCACCUGAUGUGUAAUUUGGUUUUCUAAGUGACCAUAGCCAUCGGUCAGAGACACUAAGCUGGGCCCAAAUAAAAGAAGAAAAUAAAUAAGAAGUUAAAUUAAGUUAAAACCCUUGGGUCUCACUUGAACCAAUAUCUCUUAAAUUUUUGUACAUCGUUGACACCCCUGAGGAUAUUUACAUUUUUCACCUUUAGCGACUAGAAUGUGUAUCAUCUAGCCAGGCAAUGGUACACACCUUUCUUUAAUCCCAAUACUCAGGAGGCAGAGGCAGGUAGAUCCCAGUGUUUGAGGCCAGCCUGGUCUACAGAGAGAGCCUAGGUAGGCCAGGGUUACACAGAGAAACCAAGUCCUAAGAAAAGAGAGGUGUGGGGAAGGGAGAAAUUGUGUAUCACUGUAUGAUCUUUCUUUCCUAAGUUCUACUUGGCUACCUUCUUGUAUGUUCUCAGUAGAUGCUAAUCCUAUUUACAUUGUGGCAUUUUGGUGCUUGUAUUAAGCAAAUCACAAUGGGCCUUCCUUAGGACUGGACUGGAAGGGAACAAUUUCAAUGUCUUUAAGAAGGCAGAGAGAGCCAGAAAAUGGCCGCGGCUAAGAAUUAAGUUUACAAAACCUUCCAGCUGGUAAAUUCCUUACAAAGUACAAAACAGUGUGUAAUUAUUUUCCAAGCGUUUUGUGUGAUUGUCUUUCCAAUCUCCAGUUUAAAAAAGCAGAAAUCAAACCUAGCAGUACAUCUCUGAAGCAAUGACAGCAAUCUAACGUUCCAGAGAAAUGAGGGAGCACGCUGGUUUCACCAGAAUCCAUCCUACCAGUAACGUUAUUCACCGAGAGCUAAGGUCAUGGUUGAUGGUGAACUUUUCCCAUUCUGAAUUUGAUAUGAACAUAACAUUUUAAUAAUAUGAGCAUCUAAGAAACAGACCCAGAUCAAAAGCGGUUUUAACUGGAAACUAAAAUUGCAAUCAGCAGGCACGAUGGUACCUCUUUAUUUUCUCAUUAAAGCUGCCAACAUUCUGCUAAAGAUAUGGAUACCCCAGGCUGUGAAGAACUGUUAGGAGGUGUGGCAAUGCUAGGACCUUAUGAGCUAAGGUAAGCGAUUUAAUUUUUGCUCUAAAUAUUAUGGGGAUUUUCAUACUCUGAUCAUCUCUCCUGUUACAAGGAUAUCAGCACCUCCUUUAUCCCCAGGGCUACUUACUCCUUCUACCUUUGAUUAAGGAGGCAUCACAUCUUCCCACUGAAGAAAAGGGACCCUCUGAUCAUACCAGUUUGUCCAAAGAAGGCUUCGACAUUCAUUUAGGUCGAGGAAUCCCACACAACUUGCUCAUAUUAUGGACUGAAACUUAGAUAUUUUUCCUAAUGUUUCCCAGAUUUUUCCUUCAUAUCAAGGUAAACUCUAGGUUUAAAAAGGUUUCAAUGAAGAAUCUUUGACAUAAAUACUCUGUCAAGGAAGAAACUUACAUUUUAUCUUUGAAAUAGGGAAAAAUACACACCCUGAAAUUUGAACGGAGCUUAAUACAAAUUCUGCUGCUUAAGGAGCCUACAGAAAAGCCACUGACAUGAAAAACUCAAGCAGAUGUUCAUUUUUUCUCAAGGAUACUUGAAAUUAACAUCUCUUAACCAUGUGUACUUCAGAAAAUCCACUUUUAUCCAUAGAAUCCUGAGGUCUAUUCCUCUAGGAGGUCCUAAAGUUUCCCUUCUGACCUUGGUGGCCAGGCAUGCUCAAAUAAAAGAAGGAUGUCAAACACUCUGAAAUGAUGUUCUGGGACAUGACAGUAAAAAUAUGAUCCCUAAUCUAACUUCUAUUUUUAAGGCUGUCACUUGAAAUGGAGCAGUUCCAUCUUAGUUGCCCAUGCCUGCGAUGCUGCUGUACAGCUUGUGGAGAACAUAGAGCUAGAGAUUACCAAACAAUUUGUAAGAAAAAUGUUCUGAUUGCUGGCAAGCACACCUCAAAGUCUCAGAACACAUGGGUAUUCUGGACUAUGAGGACAUUUGCACUUUGUAAGCUAUUUUUGACAUCUUCUUCCAAUUCGCAAGGUAAACUUUUGCCUGAGAGAUUCUGUGACCUUCCUGCUCUUCCUUAUCCUCCCAACAUAUUCUCUUUCUCAAAAAUAACAUUCCCAUAUAUGGUCAAAGUAGUUUUAUACCUAACUGAUUAGGUAUAUUUCCAAAUGUGACUCAUUAUGUAAACAAGGUACCCUAGUCCACUCUGGUUUGAGGUUCCACAGUCCAAGUUACAAAUCAGAGCAAAGAACCUGUGCCAUCUGCCUUCAGGCAAGUCAAAAGAAAUGUAAUAACUUCAUUAAUUCUACCUAGACCUGGAUAGAUGAACAAAGUCAAAGAAGUAUCCUAGCCUUUGGAAGAAGAAAUAUGUUGCUGCCUUAUCUCUCCCGAAUGAGCACAAACUAUGAAAAUACAAAACUCUGAAUAAGAAUUGGAAACUUACGAUCAUUGCUGGAAACAUUCUCCACUGUAUAAGAUGUGUGCAGCUGAACACGUCGAGGAAACAUAAGUGCUUGCAUAACUACUUAUCCUGUUGGAAGAUUUUUGUGACCAUUGCCUGGACUCUCAAAGAUGUUACACAGAGUAUGCAUAUGGGGAAAAUACUAGCAAGCUAGUGAGGCAGAGUCUGAACAUUCCUCCAGUACCCAAUGGAGUCUAGAACCUUCCUCUGCUGACCAUGGGUGAACUAGAUAUUUCUGUCCUACAAAGUAUGACUGGGGACCUCUACCUUGGGAACCAAGACAUUCAGGAUUUCUCUUCUGUUGAAGGUGGUCUAAGAAUUUCCCAUUCUGAGAAACAGUUAUUAGAACUCCUGUGUUAGUCAAAUACUCCACACUGUUGUCUAGAGAACUGUGCCUUGGUCCUUCCAUUCCCCAACAAUGUGGCCUCGGAUCUUGCCCACCUCUGCAAGAGGGAAUGUUAACCGCUGUCUUUGACAAAAGGAAGCUUACACAUUCCUUUAUUCCAAAGGUGACAUUAGAUAUGCUCUUUUGAAUAGCAGUGUAUCACGCCAUGUAUCCUCAAGCAUCCUCUUAUGUCUUUGAACUACAUCCAAUCUAUAUUCUCUAAAUAAGGAAGAUUCAAACCUUUCACCUUUUAUCAGAAUGGCAAGGGAAAUAUAUUGUUCCUCUCUGGUGUGUGGUCCCAGGCCAUCUGUGUAGAAUUAUUGACAGGAUCCUAUGUUAUGCUCUGCAAUCUAAUCAAAUUUUUGCGACCCAUAUAUGGACAUAUCAAGACAAACUGGAGGAGGAAACCUAGCCAGGGACAGACAUCCAGGCUGUUUGAAAAAUGCUUGGGUUGUUGCUUGAACUCCCCCAGACUAAACACGAGAUGUGGAACUUCUACCAACUAAGGAAGAGUUGGAAGCUGAAGAGCAGUGGAGUGUCGCACCCACCUCGUCUGGCAAGGAAGACACAACACGGUCUACAAGGCAUGACUAUGCCAGUGCCUGCAAAGUUCAAACAAGAUAAAAAGGGAUUGGGUUUUUCCUAGGGGCCGUUGAGGGUGGUAUACCCAUUACUUGGAAAACAGAGGAGCCUGUAUGGGUUCCUCAAUGGCCUCUUUCCUCUGAAAAAUUAGUAGCUGCCAAAGAAUUAGUAGAGGAACAAUUGAAAUUAUGAUAUAUUAAACCUUCCCAGUCACCUUGGAAUAUACCCAUAUUUGUGACUAAGUAAAAAUCAGGCAAAUGGAGGCUCCUGCAUGAUCUUCAAGCCAUUAAUAAUCAGAUGCAGAUUAUGGGCCCCAUACAGAGAGGUCUGCCCCUACUUUCUAGUUUGCCCAAAGAGUGGCCUAUUAUAAUCAUUGAUAUUAAGGAUUAUUUUUUUCUCUAUUCCCCUUGCAUUGUGUGAUAGCGAACACUUUGCCUUUACUCUUCCUUCUGUGAAUAAUGAAGAGCCUGAUAAAUGGUAUCAGUGGAUAGUUUUACCUCAAGGGGUGGCAAACAGACCUACUAUGUGUCAACUUUUUGUAGGAGAAGCCCUACAACCUGUCCAUGAUGCAUUCCC